rnacentral:rRNA from 1 species
CCUANGGGUGGCUGCAGUGGGGAAUUUUGGACAAUGGGCGCAAGCCUGAUCCAGCCAUGCCGCGUGUGUGAUGAAGGCCUUCGGGUUGUAAAGCACUUUCGGACGGAACGAAAUCGCACGGGCGAAUAUCCCGUGUGGAUGACGGUACCGUAAGAAGAAGCACCGGCUAACUACGUGCCAGCAGCCGCGGUAAUACGUAGGGUGCGAGCGUUAAUCGGAAUUACUGGGCGUAAAGGGUGCGCAGGCGGCUCCGCAAGUCAGGCGUGAAAUCCCCGAGCUUAACUUGGGAAUUGCGUUUGAAACUAUGGAGCUGGAGUGUGGCAGAGGGAGGUGGAAUUCCACGUGUAGCGGUGAAAUGCGUAGAUAUGUGGAGGAACACCGAUGGCGAAGGCAGCCUCCUGGGUCAACACUGACGCUCAUGCACGAAAGCGUGGGGAGCAAACAGGAUUAGAUACCCGGNUANUC